UGCCUCUGGGGUAAUCAUGAAUCAGCCUUUUCCUUAGCUCUUUAAAAAAAUAAAAUAAACACAGUGCCGAGUUUGGAAAACAAACCAUGCACUUCAGCAGAGGCAAGUGUGCAACGCCGGGGCCCCGGGGCCGGCCACGCUUCCACUCAGAAACUGGGGAAAUUAGAACACACAAGACGACGGGAAGACACACGGGAAUGCCACGUCAGGACAGGAGUGGAGUGCUGCCUCUACAAGCCGAGGAAUGACGGAGCUUGCUGGCGCACCACCAGAAGCUAGGAGGAGGCAAGGACAGAUUCCCCAGCAGGUUUCAGAGGGAGCAUGGCCCUGCUGAAAGCUUGGUUUCAGACUUCUGGCUUCUAGAACUACAUGAUUCAUUGACUCAAUGAGCAAGAGGAUGAAGUCAAUCUCCAGCUCUCCUCCCUCCUCUUCCUGCCCCAGAGAUCAUGCUGAUAUCCACCCCAAAUGGUUCUAAUCACGUGAUUAAUCUUCCUGGUGUGGCCUGUCCCCAUUCUGCCUCAUCUCAUCAGCAUAAACUGUCCGGCAUAAGUUCACGAAGGACAGCUGUGAUUGCACACAGGAUCCACUUUGCAAGAUCCUUAAUUUAGUCACAUCUGCAAAGACCUUUCUUCAAUAUAAGUUUGCUUCUCCAGAUCCACUGUCUACUCUUCGCCAUCCUUCUGUGCCCCUGGGGGCUGACGUGUGUGGACUGGCCUCUGGUUUCUGGCUGGGCCCUGCUGAUGAGAGUCAUGGGCGGACACCGUUUCCCCGGGUUCCUCUGCUGACUCUCCAGUCAGGUGACCCUCCCCAUACACCAUCUCCAGGUCCUGGUGAUGGCUCCUCCCUCUCCCCUCCAGUCUAGGGGUGGUAGUAUCCCUAGCACUGUACUGUCCCUCGCUGGUUUAAUGCCUUUGUACAUUGUCCUUUUAUAAGAUGCCCCUUAAUUGCCCAAUUUUAGCCCUGGCUGGUUUGGCUCAGUGGAUACUGCGUUGGCCUGCCAACUGAAGGAUCCCAGGUUCAAUUCCAGUCAAGGGCAC